GGGCCUGUGGCUUAGUUGGUUAUAGCGCUUCAUUUGCAAUGAAGAGGUCGGGAGUUCGAAUCUCCCCAGGUCCACCU
rnacentral:tRNA from 1 species